rnacentral:rRNA from 1 species
GUUAAACGGCCGCGGUAUUUUGACCGUGCAAAGGUAGCGCAAUCACUUGUCUUUUAAAUGAAGACCCGUAUGAAUGGUUAAACGAGGGCUUAACUGUCUCCCUUUUCUAGUCAAUGAAAUUGAUCUACCCGUGCAGAAGCGGGUCUAAUAAUACAAGACGAGAAGACCCUUUGGAGCUUAAGAUAAAGACCACCUAUGUUAAGAACCAAAAAACUUAAACCAAAUAGCCAUGGUCCACAUCUUCGGUUGGGGCGACCACGGGAGAAAACAAAGCUCCCAUGUGGACAGGGUUACCCUAAAGCCAAGAAAGACAUCUCUAAGACACAGAACAUCUGACCAUAUUGAUCCGGCAACCGACCAACGAACCAAGUUACCCUAGGGAUAACAGCGCAAUCCCCUUUUAGAGUCCAUAUCGACAAGGGGGUUUACGACCUCGAUGUUGGAUCAGGACAUCCUAAUGGUG